GAGAGAGGGGGAGACCCAGCACUGCCUCACUGAUACUGGUCCCUGGCUCUCUUUCCCCCUCCCUCGGCUCUCUCUCUCUUUUUUUCUUUCCAAACAGGCAACUCUGUCUUGAACCGGUGCCAAUGUAGGCUGGCCCAAGCCGCUGCAGCUGAAACUUUAACAAGCGGCCGUGGCGGAGAGCAGGAAGACGGGAGACACACGGCGGUUUGUGAAGGCAGCUCGUUCUCUGGGCUCCUUUUCAGGCUCCGCCGCCGACUCAGGGAUCCGCGCCUCAGGUCCUGACUUUGUUUGGAUGGAAAUCGCUUUUCUAUUUUUGUGAUUAUUUAGUUAUUCUCUUUUAAAACCAGGAACUUGGGAUUUCAGCGGCUGGCAGCAGCUGCGGCUGUGGACCCUACAGUAUUUGUUUAUUUCUGUAUAUAAAGGCACGGGGGGGAAAGGAAUAGUUUUGAUUGAAGAGCAGAAUGAGAGCAGACAGUGACGUCACGGAGGCAGCAGUCCAGGAUAAUGCCUGAGGAGUCACGAGAACCAGAGCUAAAUAUUUCCAGUCUUGUUCCACGGAGACCAGUGCGUACUGUUUCUGUGGAGAGAGGCACGUUGGGCGCAUUGUUUAUGGCAUCACGUAAAAACAAGAUACCGAUGCUUUCUUUUUUAACAGGUCUAUUUUGGGCGUUUCUUUUUUUGGGUCCGUUCAUAUUUUUCAAUUUUUUUCCACAAAGCAUAUCGCAAUAAAAGCGCUGGAAGGUGCAGGAGCAAGGACAGAGCGAGGAGAGAGGGGAGAGAGGGAGCAGGAGAGAGAGGGAGAGAGUGUGAGCAGGAGAGAGAGAGAGAGAGAGAGAGAGAGAGAGAGAGAGAGAGAGAGAGAGAGAGAGAGAGAGAGAGAGAGAGGUGGAACGACUACCGAAAAUGGGAAGCGCGAGGCAGUGCCUCACAGCGAUGCCAAGUGCUGACAAAAGAUUUUACUGUGGGGUUUCACUGAGAAGUCUUUAAGUUAUUCUGCUGUUUCACCCUUAAAACGCCAUGGGAACGUAUCAGGGGCCAGACGGCGGGAGACACACGCAUCUGUUGAGGCAUCUGGUGUCGUAUUAAGAUAACACUGCGUGUCUGUGUGCAGGCUGUGCUGCCGUGCUCACCUGCAGCGGCGUCUGUUCUUGUGGCUGAGGUAGUAGAUUGAAUAGUUGUGGGGCCGAGUCCUCCCUCUGCGUUAACUAUACAAUCUACUGUCUUUCCUAAGGAGGCAGAGGAUUCACCGUCGACCUGUUGAACCCGCAUUACGGACCUGAAUCCAGGAUAUCGCAAAUCAAAUGGAUUGAUUUAGAUAGUUGUCCUACUUUUCUACUCGAGCUAGACCUUGCGAGGUGAGGUAGUAGGUUGUAUAGUUUGUGGGAUGGAUUGAAUCCUUAUUUUGGUGAUAACUAUACAGUCUAGUGCCUUUCUCGAGAGGUGUAAAGAAACGCUGGGAUGCUGUGUGCAACCAACAGUUCGAUAACGGGGCAGCGCUGCCCCCUGCUGGUCAAACUGGCGUAAGUCACAUGCAUGUGAUAAGAUGAUACAGUUACUACUGAAUUAGGUAAUAUAAUAGGCCUGCACAAAUCGCAAUAUGGAGGAUUCACAAUGAAAAAUAACAAAUGAUGAUGGAUAAUAAGAUUCUGUUUGAAAAUUGUCAAGAAUUUGUUUUCUGUUUUGUUAUUAUGAUUAAAUCCAAUACAUGUUGCACAUGUUUCUCAUAUUAAAAUACACAAUUUAAUUAGCAA